rnacentral:lncRNA from 1 species
GGGCAGAUGGAGACACCCAGGAGAAAGAAGAGGGCGAAUUGGAAGAGGCCACCCAGAAAGGACGGUGUGUGACACUAGGGAGCCAAGCAUGGAGAGCCGAGGACUAACGCUUGGAAGGAAAUGUGGACCAGAAGGUUCCGGAUGAGGGAAGGACUGGCGGCUACACUCUGCCUUCCGAGACAACGAGGAAUAAUCUCACUUCAGUCAGUUCAACCCUUGUAAAACAGCUACUGUGUGCAAGACACGGAGGGAAAGCUGAAGUAGAGAAACCACAGACGCUGUCUUCAAAGGGUUUAAUCUAAUAUUAGUGAUGAGAAAAAUAGGGUGCAGAGCUUAAGGCAUCCUGGAAAAACGUAUGUAGCGCCACAUCGCGAAAAUCUCUCUUCUGGGACCCCUCUCCCAAAAACGUUUCUUCGCCCUCUUCUCCCCCUUCUGCCUCCACUCUUUCUGGACUUCAGAUAUCUUUGAGAAGCCUGGACAUCAAUCUGCUUUAGAAGACUAGAAACUCUGCCUUUAUGUCUUUAAGGGAACAAUAGUCCUUAACUUUGAUACUGUGGCUCUUUAGCUCUUUUUUUCCCUAUAUUUUUUAUAUAGUUUUUUGGUAUUAUUUAGACCUCCUUAACCCCACGGUCAUAAAGGUAUUCUCCCAUCAUUUUUUUCUAUCCAUUAGCUUCAUAGUUUUACUUUUUUACAUUCAGUUAUCUAAUCCAUCUGGAGUUCUCCUUCCCAUAUGGUGUGAGAUAGGGAUCUAACUAUAUUUUUCUCCAUGGGGUGAGCAAAUUUUCCAACAACCCA